CAGGAGGGGAAUAUAUAUAUUAUAUAUGUGUGUAUAUAUAUAUACACACACACACACACGCAUGCAUGUGUGUAUAGAUAUAUACAUACACAUGUGUGUAUGUGUGUGUAUCUUCAAGGCAGUGCAACAGAGUCCUAUACCAAAAGCCUUUAAGCCUCCAUCUGCUGUGAAAUGAUCUUGCCCUUUCUCACUGCGAGUUCCCGAUUCAUCACCCAGACUACAAGUUGCUUCUAUGUAUGACUCAUGGCUCCCACCCGGUGACGCACAGCCACCUGCUUACGAUGAGCAAGCCCGUCCCGACAGUGACUGUGAUGUGAAGAGACGGAGCGUUCACCUUUGGUCACUGGAAAGGCCCUGCCUCCUCUCGCAGAGAGCAGCGGUGGAAGACGGCGGUCGUUUUACAUUCCCUCAUCUGCCUUGUGCUUUAGAAGAGCCACACGGUACAUUUUCCACUUUGCUUUGAUGCCUGUCAUCAGAACCAGAGAUCCCGAGGGGAACAUUGCCAUCUCGUCUUUGAUGCUGACGCUAUGGGGAGGGACGCCUUCCUGACACAUUCCUCGCCUUUGUGUGUCCUCAGACGUUGACACUUUGGGGGGAUCUUGACAAAGCUCGCUGGUCAGUCCGUUUCUUAUGUGCCAAGUUGUGUGAAUUUUUUAAUGUUAUUUUUAUCCCCCUUCCUUUGGAAAACAACCUCACAGCAAUCUCUGAGACUCUGGUCUGAGUGUCAAUUAUUUUUUUUUCCUUUGGGUAUUUCUGUCUGAAGGGCUAGUCUUGGCUAGGAGGCCUCUGUCUUUGUAAGGCUAUGCAUUUUCAUUGGGAUAUUUUUAGGCUAUUAUCUGGCACUGACAUAUAUGCCUCACAGUUAACGAAAGAUAUUUGCUGCUACAAACCAGCACACAACCCAGAGCAGACUCCUGGAUCAUUGCUUUCAACCUCCACCCACAACCCCCACCCACCAUAUUCACGCUCUCUUUCUGUAGAUCAGAUGUGAGAUUUGAAAGAUAAAACUGAGGAUAAAUGGGAAAAGGUUGAUGAAGCUGGUUGCUCCCUGAUCAUCUGUGUAAAUUUAUGUUUCCUAUAAGGGGGAUUUUUUUAAAGUUCUUUUAAACUCUUAAUUGUGUCUUCUGUUCUGGUGACAAAUUGGGCAUGACUAAAAGAUGUACAGAGACUUAAGAAGAUGGCCACAUUCAAGUUUCCUCAGGCUUUUAGAACCUGAAACUACCCACAUGUGGUCCUCUCAAGAACCCCAGGAUAAAGCUGUGAUAAAGCUGACCUGCAGACAUUUGCAGCUGCUCCCAACUCUGGUGCAGUCCUGUGGGUUCACCCUUAUUCAACGGAUUCAGGAAGUUCCUUUGCGCAAACACUUCCAUUAAGCCUGUGUUCAGUAGAAGCCAUGCUUCUAACAGUGUUACUGGGAUGACACACAUUCUACUAUUAGGAAAGGGAGAGGAAGGGGAAAGGAAAGAGGAAGGAAGGAAAGAGGGAGGGAAGGAAGGAAGGUCAGGUCACAGCCUCUCGGUUCAGCUGAGACAUUACAUUACGAAAAGGAAAUUGAAAAGCUUGGGAUGAGAAACCAUUCUCUCCAUGAAGUGAUCGCCCCAUCAGAUAAGAAAAGCAGGAGGGUCUCCAGUUGAACAACCAACAGUCUGUGAACUGGUGGCCUUUGCCAUCCAGAAACAUUUAUUUCCAAUCUGAAAAAAAGGAGGAGGGGGAUAAAAAAUCUACCCCAAGCGUUCAAGAUAGUCUUUUCUAAAGACCUGUUGAAGAGGUUUCUAUUACCUCUUCUAGAAACCAAUGCUGGUUUGGCUGAAAACUCCUGCAUCAGAUUUACUCAUCCAGGAGAUAAUAACUUGAUGUCUCACCUGUGCAGAGCACAUCCCCUGUCCCAGAUGUCCAGUACCACGUAGACUCUGUACAGAUGGUUCUGAUCUUGAGGGGCUGGGAGGUUGCAAGAAGCCUGGUAAUUUCCAAGUCUUCCAACCAGAAUCCCUUUACCUAUGAUGACAAAGGGGGUCUUCAUUUUCCCAAAGCAGAGGGGCUUUUUAGCUAAAACCUACACUCAUGCUGACAUUUUUUUUCUUCUGUGAUCAAACAGCAGCAACAUAUGACUUAGAUGUCUUUCUACCACUUAAAACAUCUGUUUGAGCUUUUAGGGUUUAUCUUCAUUGCCAGAUACAGAAACAUUUGGAAAAUCAGAGAAGGACAAAGGGAACUUAUUUUGUCCCAUGCCUUCAUCUUGAUCUUCAGAACAAGCUCUCUGGACAAAAGGGGCACUUACAGGGUAGGGUGUCCAUGGAGAGCCUCUAUCUUUUAGGGAACAAAAGCUGCAGGAUUGUGAGGGCAGCUUGGCCCCCCUUCAGGGCUUGGCUAUGGUCCAUAGAUGCACCACGUUUGCUGUCAGCUGUAAGAGAACUCAGAGGGAAAGAGUCUGCAGUCUUAAGUUUUGUUAUAAAUCCAGUAGAAACCAGCAGGGCAGUUGAGAUGCGGAAACUCAACUAGCAUUAGAUGAUAUUACUAGACAUACAACAAGACAGUCCUAUAAGCUAGAGAGCUGCUCAGCGUGGUGAGGAGCUGGGUUUGAUUCUGGAAUCCACGUUUUCAGGGGAGCCCUGGCUAGGGUGAGAGUAUGCAUUAUGAAAUGACUUUAAGACCGGAAGAGAUCCGAAAAAAUUUUCUCUAUUACCUCUCAGGGAAAUUGCUGUAGACUCAUUGGGCUUGGCAACAUGAAGAAGUUCCCUUCCGAUGGUAGGAGUUGGUGGAAUCUAAGUUUCUAGAAUUCUAUGGAUUAAGACAAACUCAUGGUGGUCUCCUGCGCUUCCUGCAGUCACCUUUGGCCUUGUGAGCUCCCUGUGUGUGCUUUAACAGCUCCAGAGGGGUUUGGGGAUAAGGUCAUAGAAUGAUGGCAAUCCUGGAGGCUGCUGUAAUGUUUUCCAAAGGAGGGGAACCCACGCUGCUCCCCAGAGUUCUCUCCAAUGUGCCUGCAGUGAGGAAAGAGGGCAGUGCACAGCUGGGUGCUUGAAAUCCUGCCUCUUGGAAACACAAAGAGGCACUUUGCAAAGAAAUCCAAAGAGCCAGCAUAUGUUCUCUGCAGGGACCCCGUGUGGUGGAGCUUUCACGUCGGCUCCUUCACUCAACUAUAUAUAACUAGGAAGAAAUGUGAGUGACCAGGAAGAGAAAAGAAGCAAUGGCUAAAUACCAAAGUUGGCAUGUGUUCUUUUUUAAAAAAAUAUAUGUAUAUUUUUAAAUAAAAUGUUUAUUUUAG
ensembl:lncRNA